AUUUCACAACCCCAGCCACCUCUGAAACCUUCCACUCUCUCAAGCUCUCUCAAGUCUUCUCAGAACCCUAGCCUCCUCUCACCGCUUCCACCUUGAAAGCCACCAGAAUCCAUGGCUUGCUGGGCUUGGGAAUCUUAUACCUACCUCCUGUUUCCUUUACACACCUGAUCUCUGAAGAUUCAAAGCUUGACCUUCAAGGUUUUGCACCCAGACUUCUGUCACUUCGAGGUUCAACGGUUAUUUCCGGUCUUGCUCCGGCAUACUAUGGUUAUUUGAGCUUGAUUCUGACCUCUCCGACUCAGAUCGAUGACUUUUCAAAACCUUUCUCAUUUUUAGGAUUCUUCUGAAACCCUACCUUCGAGGUUUUCUCCGAUUCCUUUAGAUCUGUUAUGUAUCCAUGCUUUCCUUAAGGUCUUAAAUGUUUUCCUGACUUUUUUUUUUCAAAAACUACUUUCAAAAAAUGUCUUUUCCGAUCUAGGGUUUUCUGAAAGUAUUUAAGUGUUUUCUAACUUUUUUUUCCUUUUUAGGGUAUUUGCUUCUACCGGGUUCUUGUAUUUUCUUUUACCGUGUUCUUACGCGUUUCUUCAGUUGUAGUUUCUUCUAAUGUGUUCUCGUAUGAUUCUCUAAUAUAUGCUUUCUUUAUUGUGUUUUGAUAUGUUUCUCCUACUAUGUUUUCUUACUAAGUUUUUAAGUUUCAUUAUUAAGUUCCUUUUACUGAGCUUUGUUUAAAGUUUCUUCCAAAAUUUCUUAGCAUGCUUCUUCUAUUGUUCUUAUCAGGCUUCUCAAUUAUGUUUCAUAUUAACAUCUUCUACUCAAUUUUUCUUUGAAUUCUGCUACUGUGUUCUGCGUGUUACUUGCUAUCAUUGUUUUCUCAUGAGUUUCUACUGCUGAAAGAAACAUGCAAGAGGUUUCAUAGAACUGAAACCUCUGAGCUUGUUUCGAUUACUUGCCUUCUCAUAUCUUGUCACGAUCCCAAAUCCUAAUAGUGAUGGCGCCCAACAUAAUUGCUAGGCAAGCCCGACCAAUCAAUACUCACAUCCCAAUCACAAAUCCCAUUACUGAGUAACAACAUGAAAUUAGUAGUUGUCAAGUCUAUUAACCAAAUAAAUUAAUUAGAAAUAGUAUGAGACACUUGCAUAACCAACAUCUACCAAAGACCUGGGGUCAUGAGUCUAGAGCCACUAAGAUGACAAAGUAGCAAACUCUCAUGUAAUACAAAGUUCUAGAAUGAGGAAAGAUAAAAGGGAUAAGGGGAGGAGUCGGGUUAUGCGGACGUCAGGCACCUACCUCGACAACUCCUGAAAGCUCUGGAAACAACAAACAGCUCGACUAAGCUCCCAAUGCUCCUGAAUCUGCACACAUGGUGCAGGAAGUAAAGUGAGUACUUCCAACUCAGUGGUAAUAGACAUAUAUAAUGACUGAAAGUAAGAAANNNNNNNNNNNNNNNNNNNNNNNNNNNNNNNNNNNNNNNNNNNNNNNNNNNNNNNNNNNNNNNNNNNNNNNNNNNNNNNNNNNNNNCACAAUGUAAAGCUAAAACUAACAAUUUAGCAUAAUUAACGGUGAAAUGGCAACAAAAUAGAAUCAUAUAAAUUAGAUAACAUCAAAGCAUGAAUGCAAUGCACAUGACCGCUGCGGCGUACAACCCGAUCCAUUUGGGUACCCGCGCUCACUGUGGAGGUUCAGACUCCGAAGGGGCUCCUACAGCCGAAGCGCAAUAUCAAUGUCUUACCGCUGUGGCGUGCAUCUUGAUCGAUGCACAGUCCAGAAGGUUUCAGACUCCGGGGCUCCUACAGCCCAAGCACAAUAUCAUAGUGACAUCGCUGCGGCGUGCAGCCCGAUCCUCACUCAGUCCAGAAUAUGCAUGUGAGUUAUACAACAAAGUCAGAUUUUAGUUCUCAGUUUCAAUUAUUAGAAAAAUUAUCGUCUAAGUCUUUAAAACCUUAGGGGUGUCACUAGGUAUUUCGAAACAGUGUUUAAACUCAGGACUGAACUCAUAUAGCAUGCCGAAUAUCAUGGAAGCAGUGAUAAUAAUCCCCACGGGAUUCAAAUAGUUGGCACACGGCCCAAAUAUAUCAGAACAGUCCAAGUGGGAUGUUUACUAAUCAGUCUAUAGUCCAAAGAACAGCUUGGACACCACUGGGGGCGGACUAAACCAUAAUCCCCAAUCACAAAAGACCCCACACUCGUCAUGGAGUGCGUGUCUCGCCUCAAUAUAGCGUCACAGUGAUAAACUGAGGUUUCAAACCCUCAGAUCAUCAUCUACAUCUAUUAAUCACCUCUACUCGGCCGAAGAUAGCUCGCAAUGCCCUUUCCUCUCAUAUCAACCUCCUCGUACAUCGAAUCUGGACAAAACUAUAAUGAAUACGUUACAAUGUGCCAAAGAAACAUAACCCAAUCGAAAAGACUUGAAAAACCCCAAAAAUCACGAAGUUGGCAAUACCCGAGCCCUAGGCCCGCUUCUCGAAAAUUACAAAACUCACAGUACCGGAUUCUUCAUCUCGCUACGAGUCCAUACACACUAAGAACUCCCAAAUCCGAGCUUAAAUGACCUAUCAAAUCCCAAUUUGAAAUAUCAAAACUCAAGCCCUAGCUUUACCCCCUUUCAGUUAAUUUAAACCAAUUUCCAUGUUAAAUCUAGCAUAAUCUCGUGUUUUUAGGCCAAGGAACUUACCUCAAAUCAUUCUAUUUUGAACCCCUGUUCAAAAUGGCCUCAAAGCUCGCUUAAAAAUGGAGGAAAAUAAUGCCUAGCUCGCGGAAAGAAAUAAAACCUUUAAACCCCUAUGCAAAUAGCCCUUUUCGCUUCUACGGUCCCGCUAUCGCUUAUGCGGGACCGCUUCUGCGGCCAAAAAUCCGCUUAUGCGGUUCUUACUUUAAAACCCAACGUCCACUUUUACGUCUCCACAUCCGCUUCCACGAACUACCCAAGACCGCUUCUGCGGUUCAUAGUCCGCUUCUGCGGACUUGCGUUUGCGAACAAUAUUCCGCUUUUGUGGAACCACUCUACUAAGCCAAGAGCCGCUUAUGAGAAAAAUACCAACUAACAGAAAAGCUGAACUUGCAACACACCUCGCAACUCUCGUUUAACCACCUAAAUCUACCCCGAGGCCCCCGUGACCUCAAACAAAAGCACCAACAUAUCCAAAAACAUCAUACGAACUUGUUUCAAUCAUUUAAACACAUCAAAUAACACUAAAACCACUAAAUCACAUCGGAUUCAAGCCUAAGCUUCUUAAAACUUUCCGAAAUACAUUUUCGAUAAAAAAUCAGACCAAACCACGUCCGAAUGACCUGAGAUUAUGCACACACAUUAUAAAUCACAUAUAGAAGCUACAACCUUCGGAUAAAAAUCUCACCUAUCAACCGGAAUUCGCCAAAAUACUAACUUCGCCAAUUCAAGCCAAAUUCUACAACGGACCUCCAAAUCCAAUUCCGAUUACGCUCCUAAGUCACAUAUUAUUCCCCGAAGCUGACCAAAACACCAGAAAUCAAAUCCGAGCCCUACAACUCAUUAGCCAAUGUCCGGUUGUCAUUUACCACUUAAGCCUUACUUAAUGAGACUAAGAGUCUCAUUUCUUAUCAAAACAAGUCCAAAUCAACUCUAACAUUCCACAUACCGUUAACAACAUAUGAAGAAGCUUAACGUGAGGGAAACAGAGCAGUAACGCAUGAGACGACGGGUCGGGUUGUCACAUCCUCCCCAACUUAAACAAAUGCUCAUCCUCGAGUGUACCAGAGUUGUACAAGAAGCCAGCCAAUAUCUGAAUGACCUUACCAAACAUAUACCCGGGGUGAUCCCACGUCACACUAACUCACAUAGGCUCCGAUAAUACAACACAACUGAAAUUUCAAAGUCCAUCUAGACCAUAAACCGUAGAACCACAUCACACUUCCGAAAUCAUACCCAGAAUAAACCCGAACAAGCUGUGGCAAACCACACCUGUAACCUUAGGUGAAAUCAUACAACAUACCACACAAUCCAACACUCGAGACGAUAGACUCUAUUCACAACAGCUGCCUACAAUAACCAAAUACCGAUAGAAAACCUCUUAUUAGCUAAGGUCUUAUUCCAACACCUUCAUAUACUGCCAACGAUAAAUAAAACACGCGAUAAACCGUAGCCAUUCCUCAGAUCAUCCAUACAUGAAGCCACUUCUCUUUUGAGCAGUACCAUAAUGGAUUUUUGGGCCAAACCUCGAUAUUAUCCUUCUAACAGCUGAAAUCAAAUUUGUUUGUAUUCAUUAAUGACUCCAAUGAUCACCUCGAAUCCAAUACAUCACUCUGGUGAUAUGACACCUCAACACAGGCCUAAGCCACAACUUGCAUCAUACGCGUACCAAUAAGAAACGGUCCGAGCAUACUCUAAUCCUGAAAAUGACUCAAAUGAAAGAGCUGUACCUUAAUCCCAUCAGAACCAUCACAACACAAGGAUGAGAACCCGUCUCACAUAAUAGAAAUAGAACACCUGAAGCUACCCGACAAGUCGUAAUGCCACGUAGCUUCGCUACAAUGCGCGAUCCUAUCCAAGCAUUGUUACACAUGAAGUAACUUGAGUCACCAUGCCCAAAAUAGACAGCCACACACAGAUUGAUGUCUGAAGCCAAGCAAUCCAUCACACCCAUGGUGAAGCAAGUAAUAUACACCAUUCAAUCCUGAAAGGACACAACUGACGCGCUAUUCGCCGAGCAACUCCCAAUAUGGACUUUCAUCAGAAACCAGGAAGCAAGGCAUAUAUAGUAACAUAUAGAAUUAUUCUCCACAUCACAAUUUUGCGGAGUUCAACCCGAUCUAGAUAACAUACAUGUGGUAGCGUGCCACCUGAUCCACAUAAAUGUCUCACGUAAGGAGAUGCACAUCGAGCCAAAUUUGCUCAUUAUAACAAAAUACCGAGUAUCAAUCGUAAGCAUACUGAGUGCGUAAUGAUAUCUACAGCGUUUCAAGCUAUAAAACUCAACUUCCACCAUGAACCUCGACAGCACCGCACUAUACGUUCCCAAAAGUCCGAAAAUUAUAACGCCUCACAUCACAGAUAAACAACUCAUAGAUUUCCCCAGAUCACUAGGAGGUUCAAUAACGAUCGAAUCAACCUAUCCUUCAUCAAUACAAUUCGGGGCCAACCAAGACAACUCAUGCUAAAUACGUAUCCAAUUAGCUUACCAAAAAACUCAUUCACCAAGAAGCCUGAAGCUGCUCCUUCCACUACUAUAACUCAUGCUGGAGCUGUACGAUACGGUUCUUGACACCAAAUUAAUACCGAAAUCCAUAAUCUCACCCGAAGACAUGCCCGAUCACCAGGAACGCAUCCGAAAAGGUCCUUCAAUACCAGAACUGAGUCAAUGGCAGAAGCCUCUAUAUUGAAAUCCGUCACAAAGGCCCAAUUAAGGAAAACAAUCCUUCCCAACCGUCUACUGGUCUUUGGAACUCAACCAUUCUACUAGAACAUAGUCCGAUGCACCUCUCCACGCAACUUGCGGCAUUUUCUAAUAUGACACAUAGCACAACAAUCUAGAAUAAUCUAACACAGAGACACCCAGUCUACACACCAAUAUCGUAUCCAAAGUCUAACAUACCAAACAAAGAAAGAUCCACUCGGGCCUUCAAAUCCCUUUGGCCACUAACGGUACCAAUACACACGGUCUACAACCACUACAUAGCCUGAACAUGAGAAAUCUCGGUCUCUAACUUCUAUAGCACACAAAUCACCAUAAGUGAUCCCAAAUUCUGCCGUAUGAAUAUAUAUAUCACAACUCAGGUACACAAUAAUUCCAUGAAAGAUAUUCUAAAAUUCCCGUGCCAUCAAACGAACUCAUAUAUUAGCAGUCGAUCUAGAAAGAAAGCACCAAAACACCAACAUAGUAUCAUCAAUAUAAUCACCUUUCCCUUUUUCCGAGACAUAAACGUUAAAUCACUAGAAUAGUAAUACCAUUUUCCUUAAUCAUCUGAAGGUCGAUUCUUAAAUCACCUGCAGCUGCCCCUGAUGCUUAAGAAUUUGAUAACUAUUUAUUUUGAACUGAACUGAAACCUUACACACGCAAAUUCCAAUCCUCCACAAGGGAGAAUUGUGGUAUUUUCAUUGGAAAAUGACAUAAGAACUCCAUCUAGAAGAAAAUCACUACACAUCCCAUGCUUCGCAUGCCCAUAGACAAUAUAUACGUCUCCAAACCACGAUAAAACUCAUCAAAAACUCUCUCCUCAAUUCCAUUGCACAAGCUAAACUGUUAGGACUACAUCCCUUUUGCAUGAGCCAAGCUAAGCAAACUAUCAGUACUCAAGAGCUUUGCUGCACAACACUUGUAGAAACAUAUUACCUUGAACACAUAUGAAGAUUAAUCAUAUCUUUACCAUACCGAUUCGGUCUACUAUCAAACUAUUUCAUCUAUCUAAUUUCCCCCUUUUGUUCAUCAUCAACUUGAUAUUUCUCCCUCGUCGUAGCAUCACAAUGCCUCCAUCCAGGCUUACCACACGAGACCCAAGCACAAGACCACAUUGCCUAAGACCUACAAGCCACUAAAUACUCUCAAAUGUUCCCAGGAACACCACAUUCCCAAAAUAAUCAGCUAGAAAGAACUUCCUAUGAAUCCAUCUUCGUUACCUUUAUUUUCCCGAUACUGAUGCAUAGAAUCCCAUAGUUAACAUGAAAAUACCACAAGUAUUGAUAUUUUCCAAUGAAAACACAGCCUCUAACCACAUACACGACCUUAAGUCACCUGAUGGUCACAUGUAGAAUCUUGAAUACAUUAGAAUCAUUCCCGAAAGUCAUUCACUCUUAUUCAACUGCAAUUUACCUGCCUCAAUGAACAUAACCACUCAUGCCUUAUUAGCACUCUGACACCGUAGGAUCUGAUCUCACUUCAAUGCAAACAAAUAUCUUCCUUCUCUAUGCACUGAGCAUUAUUUAUCUUCAAUAGCUCAGUACGUCAUAUUAUUUUCACAUCUCUAUGAAGCACUAUAUAACCUUUGUCCAAAUUGUGCCAACCUCGGCUCAUUUCCGCGACCAGAACUGAUCCGCCAGCAUACCUCGAACGGAAUCACAUAUCACAUAUCCGUGCAAUUAGCUAUUCAACAACAACCUCCCUAACUUGGCUCGAAGCCAUAUAUUAGGACACACUCAACAACUCAUAAUACCUUUAAUGAUACCACCACGCCCUAGUAUGAUUAAAGUUAAAUAAUUUACUAGUUUUUUUGAAAACACAGAUCAUCUAGUACGGAAAUUGUCAACAAACCUCGUAUUCAUCCCCACAUUAGUUACGUCCACUCUCUAGAGCAACCCAAAUUCAUCAAAUUUAAACAUGUACUCUUCAAUUACACAUAUGAUCUUCUAUCAAUGUACAUAAGAAUCAUACCACAUUCGAACAACCCACAGGGGAUAACCCACCCGCUUUGCCUCAAUUUAGUACUUCGGCAUACUUUCCACCAUCAUAUACGCUGCAAAGUCAAUUUAGUCUCCCCGAGUUGGGGCUCAUACCGCAAUAUGCUAUUUACUUCACUCCCAACUAGGAGAUCUGAAAAGAUUCUUCACGCACCCAUAACUUGGGGCGACACAUCCAAUCACAAUGGAAAUCAACACUUAAUGAUUCAUCUACACCUAGCAGACCUUCUUCGACACUUCCAAGACAUAUAGACACACCACACAACACCAACGUACUCAUCACGUAGCUAUCCAGCCACCAUUCUCACAAUUAAAUGAAAUAAUGAAUAUUCAGGUUCAUAACACCAGAUCGCAAAAUUAGCACCUCGGUGCUCAAGCCAUAGGCGAAGAUUCAGCCUCAAUCCAGACCGACCCAACAUCAGCUCAUAGAAAUCACAUCUCUCCCCUCCAUCGGGGAAUCACAAGACAUCAAGGCACAUAUAUUUUGAGCGCUCAUGCGCACAUACAGACGCGAGGAAGUAAUUUCAAGAGUUAUAUUCCAAGCUGAAUCAAGUAUGCACGAUAAGAACUCCAAGAAAGUGAAGUUGUUCCUUAAGGUUCUACAACCUCUCGAGGAUGAAUACAGACGUCUCCGUACCGACCUGCGAGACUCUAUUCACCGGCUCAUGACUCAUGAGGCCUAGUAACAUAUGCUCUGCUACCAACUUGUCACGACCCCAAAUCCCGAUCGUGAUGGAGCCCAACACAAUUGCUAGGAAAGCCCGACCAAUCAAUACUCACAUCCCAAUCACAAACCCCAUUACUGAGUAACAACAUGAAAUUAGUAGUUGUCAAGUCUAUUAACCAAAUAAAUUAAUUAGAAAUAGUAUGAGACACUGACAUAACCAACAUUUCCCAAAUACUUGGGGUCAUGAGUCUAGAGCCUGUAAGAUGACAAAGUAGCAAAAUCUCAUGUAAUACAGAGUUCUAGCAUGCAAAAAGAUUAAAGGGAUAAGGGGAGGAGUCGGGUUCUGCGGACGUCAGGCAGCUACCUCGACAACUCCUGAAAGCUCUGGAAACAGCAAACAACUCGACUAAGCUCCCGAUGCUCCCGAAUCUGCACACAUGGUAUAGGGAAUAAAGUGAGUACUUCCAACUCAGUGGUAAUAGACAUAUAUAAUGACUGAAAGUAAGAAAUCCCGAAAAUACCAUAAUGUAAAGCUAGAACUAACAAUUCAGCAUAAUUAACACUGAAAUGGAAAUAAAACAGAAACAGGUAGAUCAGAUAAACAUCAAAGCAUGAAUGCAAUACAAUGCACAUGAUCGCGGCAGCGUACAACCCGAUCCAUUUGGGCACCCACGCUCACUGUGGGGGUUCAGACUCCGGAGGAGCUCCUACAACCCAAGUGCAAUAUCAUAGUGACAUCGCUGCAGCGAGCAGCCCGAUCCACACUCAGUCCAGAAUAUGCAUGUGAGUUAUACAGCAAACAAACAGCUCGUCUAAGCUCUCGAUGCUAUCGCUUAUGCGGGACCGCUUCUACGGCCAAAAGUCCACUUAUGCGGUUCUUACUUAAACAUCCAACAUUCGCUUUUGCGUCUCCACAUCCACUUCCGCGAACCACCCAAGACUGCGACUGCGGUUCAUAGUCUGCUUUUGCGGACUCGCAUUUGCGAACAAUAUUCCUCUUUUGUGGAACCACUCCACUAGGCCAAGAGCCGAUUAUACAUUCCUCCACUCGCUCCUGCGGAUGGACCGCAGAAGCGGAAAUACCAGCUGAUAGAAAAGCUGAACCUGCAACACACCUCGAAACUCUCGUUUAACCACACGAAUUCACCCCGAGGCCCCCGGUACCUUAACCAAAGAAACCAACAUAUCCAAAAACAUCAUACGAACUUUUUAUGAUCAUUAAAACAUAUCAAAUAACACAAAAACCAUUAAAUCCCAUCGGAUUCAAGCCUAAGUUUCUUAAAAACUUCCGAAAUACAUUUUCAAUAAAAAAUCCAACCAAACCACGUCCGAAUGACAUGAGAUUUCUCACACACAUCAAAAAUCACAUAUAGAAGCUACAGAUACUCUCGGAAUACCGACUCUCGGAUCAAAAUCUCACCUAUCAACCAAAAUUUGCCAAAAUACUAACUUCGCCAAUUCAAGCCAAAUUCUACAAUGGACCUCAAAAUCCAAUUCCGAUCACACUCCUAAGUCACAAAUCAUUCACCGAAGCUGACCAAUACACCAAAAAUUACAUCCAAGCCCUAUUACUCAUUAGUCAACAUUCGGCUGACUUUUUCCACUUAAGCCUUCCUUAAAGAGACUAAGUGUAUCAUUUCUUAUCAAAACCAGUACAAAUAAACUCUAACACACCACAUACCUAUAACAACAUAUGAAGAAGCUUAACAUGAGGGAAAUUGAGUAGUAAUGCAUGAGACGAUGGGUCGGGUCGUCACAUCUCUGUACUUGAUUCAAGUCGGAAAUCCUAGAAUUCGGGGUUCUGCCAAGUUUGAUUGUGUGAUUUAAUUGAACUAGGGUUUUAUUUUAGAACCCCUAACUCUUUUAGAACAACUUUGAGUCUCUGAAUCGAGUUUGGACAUCCAUGUUUACAUAUGAUUCAGAUCAUUGGCUAAACUCUUCUAGAACUCUUUCUUCACUGGAUUUUUCUAUUGAUUUUUGCAAUGGCACAACAUUUUCUUUCAACUCAACAUGUUUGUCUGCUCUUUAUAUGUGAUGAAUCUUCCUCUAAAAAGGUUUUCAGCUCAUGAAUGAUUCAAAUUCGUUCUAAAUAGGCUUGAUUGAUUUCUUUCCAUUGUUUGCCGAUUUUCUCUGUGACUCGGCCUAAGUUAAAACCCUUCUUCAUAUUUCUGACUCGGUUCAUUCAUGCAAAAUCUCAAACCCUUUUGAUUUACUGCUUGUUAAUUGAUUUGCUUACCUUAUUUUCACAAACUGUGUAUUUCAAAACCUUGUCCUUAAAUAACUUUUUAUGUACUUGACCCUAAUUGCAUGCUUUGCACAAAGUGUUUAUUCAAUUUCUUUCCUUAUAUAGUUUUUAUCGAUUUUGAAUCUGAAUCCCUUAACUAUUGAUUGACAAUCAGUUCCUCAACUAUUUUCUUACCUUGUUUCUGCCCGAUUUUACACUAUAAAAGGCACGACCUCUUUACAAACAAGACACUUUCACAAUCCUUCUGAACUCUUACUUACACAUAAUAGUUUUCUCUCUUCUUGUCUGCACUGUGGCUUUUACAAUACUACUGCAUUUUCUCUAUUUGUUUUUUUGAAACUGGUAUGUCCUAAUUUAAGUUUCAAAAUCAUCACAAUGUGUUCAUUUACAACUUUUAUAUCCAUGUCUACUUUACUAUUUCUGCUGUGAAUCAUUGCUCCCUAUCCCUAUUAUCCCUAUGUAUUUGAGAGUUGUGACUUAAAACAUAGCAAUGCGAGUUGUUUACCAUGAAUUAUGUUUGAACCAAUGAGGUCUUAACCUAUAAGCAAACAGGCUGGAGGUUGUGCCAGCAUCUCCCAUUCCUGGGUGUGCCCAUCAGUCUGCUUUUCUUUUGCUCUUGCAAAUUCCCUUAUUCCCCUACUACCUUAUGUGUACUGAUUUUAAGUUAUUUCCCUUUUCCCUUUCCCCUUUCAGAAUGCUACUUUCACACUUGCACUCCCUCUUCGUUCCUAAGUUCUCACCCCCUUCUUGUGAGCCUUGCCUUGGGACCUUGAGUUCCCUUUGAACUUUGACACCUGAGGGCUGGCCCUUCCACACUGCACUAUGGCUUAAUCUG
rnacentral:lncRNA from 1 species